rnacentral:rRNA from 1 species
UUGCACGUCUAAGCAGUAAGGCUGAGUAUUAGGCAAAUCCGGUACUCGUUAAGGCUGAGCUGUGAUGGGGAGAAGACAUUGUGUCUUCGAGUCGUUGAUUUCACACUGCCGAGAAAAGCCUCUAGAUAGAAAAUAGGUGCCCGUACCGCAAACCGACACAGGUAGUCAAGAUGAGAAUUCUAAGGUGAGCGAGCGAACUCUCGUUAAGGAACUCGGCAAAAUGACCCCGUAACUUCGGGAGAAGGGGUGCUCUUUAGGGUUAACGCCCAGAAGAGCCGCAGUGAAUAGGCCCAAGCGACUGUUUAUCAAAAACACAGGUCUCUGCUAAACCGUAAGGUGAUGUAUAGGGGCUGACGCCUGCCCGGUGCUGGAAGGUUAAGAGGAGUGGUUAGCUUCUGCGAAGCUACGAAUCGAAGCCCCAGUAAACGGCGGCCGUAACUAUAACGGUCCUAAGGUAGCGAAAUUCCUUGUCGGGUAAGUUCCGACCCGCACGAAAGGCGUAACGAUUUGGGCACUGUCUCAACGAGAGACUCGGUGAAAUCAUAGUACCUGUGAAGAUGCAGGUUACCCGCGACAGGACGGAAAGACCCCGUGGAGCUUUACUGUAGCCUGAUAUUGAAAUUCGGCACAGCUUGUACAGGAUAGGUAGGAGCCUUUGAAACGUGAGCGCUAGCUUACGUGGAGGCGCUGGUGGGAUACUACCCUAGCUGUGUUGGCUUUCUAACCCGCACCACUUAUCGUGGUGGGAGACAGUGUCAGGCGGGCAGUUUGACUGGGGCGGUCGCCUCCUAAAAGGUAACGGAGGCGCUCAAAGGUUCCCUCAGAAUGGUUGGAAAUCAUUCAUAGAGUGUAAAGGCAUAAGGGAGCUUGACUGCGAGACCUACAAGUCGAGCAGGGUCGAAAGACGGACUUAGUGAUCCGGUGGUUCCGCAUGGAAGGGCCAUCGCUCAACGGAUAAAAGCUACCCCGGGGAUAACAGGCUUAUCUCCCCCAAGAGUUCACAUCGACGGGGAGGUUUGGCACCUCGAUGUCGGCUCAUCGCAUCCUGGGGCUGUAGUCGGUCCCAAGGGUUGGGCUGUUCGCCCAUUAAAGCGGUACGCGAGCUGGGUUCAGAACGUCGUGAGACAGUUCGGUCCCUAUCCGUCGUGGGCGUAGGAAAUUUGAGAGGAGCUGUCCUUAGUACGAGAGGACCGGGAUGGACAUACCUCUGGUGUACCAGUUGUCGUGCCAACGGCAUAGCUGGGUAGCUAUGUGUGGACGGGAUAAGUGCUGAAAGCAUCUAAGCAUGAAGCCCCCCUCAAGAUGAGAUUUCCCAACUUCGGUUAUAAGAUCCCUCAAAGAUGAUGAGGUUAAUAGGUUCGAGGUGGAAGCAUGGUGACAUGUGGAGCUGACGAAUACUAAUCGAUCGAAGACUUAAUCAA